AGCGAAUGCUGGCGGCAGGCCUAACACAUGCAAGUCGAACGAACCUUUCGGGGUUAGUGGCGGACGGGUGAGUAACACGUGGGAACGUGCCUUUAGGUUCGGAAUAACUCAGGGAAACUUGUGCUAAUACCGAAUGUGCCCUUCGGGGGAAAGAUUAAUCGCCUUUAGAGCGGCCCGCGUCUGAUUAGCUAGUUGGUUGAGGUAAUGGCUCACCAAGGCGACGAUCAGUAGCUGGUCUGAGAGGAUGAUCAGCCACAUUGGGACUGAGACACGGCCCAAACUCCUACGGGAGGCAGCAGUGGGGAAUCUUGCGCAAUGGGCGAAAGCCUGACGCAGCCAUGCCGCGUGAAUGAUGAAGGUCUUAGGAUUGUAAAAUUCUUUCACCGGGGACGAUAAUGACGGUACCCGGAGAAGAAGCCCCGGCUAACUUCGUG
rnacentral:rRNA from 1 species